GAUGAACGCUGGCGGCGUGCCUAAUACAUGCAAGUCGAGCGAACUGAUUAGAAGCUGCUUCUAUGACGUUAGCGGCGGACGGGUGAGUAACACGUGGGCAACCUGCCUGUAAGACUGGGAUAACUUCGGGAAACCGAAGCUAAUACCGGAUAGGAUCUUCUCCUUCAUGGGAGAUGAUUGAAAGAUGGUUUCGGCUAUCACUUACAGAUGGGCCCGCGGUGCAUUAGCUAGUUGGUGAGGUAACGGCUCACCAAGGCAACGAUGCAUAGCCGACCUGAGAGGGUGAUCGGCCACACUGGGACUGAGACACGGCCCAGACUCCUACGGGAGGCAGCAGUAGGGAAUCUUCCGCAAUGGACGAAAGUCUGACGGAGCAACGCCGCGUGAGUGAUGAAGGCUUUCGGGUCGUAAAACUCUGUUGUUAGGGAAGAACAAGUACAAGAGUAACUGCUUGUACCUUGACGGUACCUAACCAGAAAGCCACAGCUAACUACGUGCCAGCAGCCGCCGCAGUAA
rnacentral:rRNA from 1 species